GACGAACGCUGGCGGCGUGCUUAACACAUGCAAGUCGUACGGUAAGGCCCUUUCGGGGGUACACGAGUGGCGAACGGGUGAGUAACACGUGAGUAACCUGCCCACAACUUUGGGAUAACGCUAGGAAACUGGUGCUAAUACUGGAUAUGUGCUCCUGCUGCAUGGUGGGGGUUGGAAAGCUCCGGCGGUUGUGGAUGGACUCGCGGCCUAUCAGCUUGUUGGUGGGGUAGUGGCCUACCAAGGCGGCGACGGGUAGCCGGCCUGAGAGGGUGACCGGCCACAGUGGGACUGAGAUACGGCCCAGACUCCUACGGGAGGCAGCAGUGGGGAAGAUUGCACAAUGGGCGCAAGCCUGAUGCAGCAACGCCGCGUGCGGGAGGACGGCCUUCGGGUUGUAAACCGCUUUCAGCAGGGACGAAGCUUUUUGUGACGGUACCUGCAGAAGAAGCACCGGCUAACUACGUG
rnacentral:rRNA from 1 species